rnacentral:lncRNA from 1 species
UUGACAGUUAUAUCCCCAUCUUCAUUUAUCCAAUGAAGUUUGUAAGGUUUUGGAUGAGGUGUAACUUCAAGAUUUAGCUUUUCAACCAGCUUUGUGCUACAACAAUUGCAACAAGAACCACUAUCAACAAUGAGAGAACAAUAUUUGUCUUGAAUCUUACAUCUUGUAUGAAAGAUGUUCUCUCUUUGAGAUAGAUGUUCUAAGCUAGGUUGAUUAUUGAGCACUCUUCUCACCAUGAG